rnacentral:rRNA from 1 species
GAUGAACGCUGGCGGCGUGCCUAAUACAUGCAAGUCGAGCGAACGGACGAGAAGCUUGCUUCUCUGAUGUUAGCGGCGGACGGGUGAGUAACACGUGGAUAACCUACCUAUAAGACUGGGAUAACUUCGGGAAACCGGAGCUAAUACCGGAUAAUAUUUUGAACCGCAUGGUUCAAAAGUGAAAGACGGUCUUGCUGUCACUUAUAGAUGGAUCCGCGCUGCAUUAGCUAGUUGGUAAGGUAACGGCUUACCAAGGCAACGAUGCAUAGCCGACCUGAGAGGGUGAUCGGCCACACUGGAACUGAGACACGGUCCAGACUCCUACGGGAGGCAGCAGUAGGGAAUCUUCCGCAAUGGGCGAAAGCCUGACGGAGCAACGCCGCGUGAGUGAUGAAGGUCUUCGGAUCGUAAAACUCUGUUAUUAGGGAAGAACAUAUGUGUAAGUAACUGUGCACAUCUUGACGGUACCUAAUCAGAAAGCCACGGCUAACUACGUGCCAGCAGCCGCGGUAAUACGUAGGUGGCAAGCGUUAUCCGGAAUUAUUGGGCGUAAAGCGCGCGUAGGCGGUUUUUUAAGUCUGAUGUGAAAGCCCACGGCUCAACCGUGGAGGGUCAUUGGAAACUGGAAAACUUGAGUGCAGAAGAGGAAAGUGGAAUUCCAUGUGUAGCGGUGAAAUGCGCAGAGAUAUGGAGGAACACCAGUGGCGAAGGCGACUUUCUGGUCUGUAACUGACGCUGAUGUGCGAAAGCGUGGGGAUCAAACAGGAUUAGAUACCCUGGUAGUCCACGCCGUAAACGAUGAGUGCUAAGUGUUAGGGGGUUUCCGCCCCUUAGUGCUGCAGCUAACGCAUUAAGCACUCCGCCUGGGGAGUACGACCGCAAGGUUGAAACUCAAAGGAAUUGACGGGGACCCGCACAAGCGGUGGAGCAUGUGGUUUAAUUCGAAGCAACGCGAAGAACCUUACCAAAUCUUGACAUCCUUUGACAACUCUAGAGAUAGAGCUUUCCCCUUCGGGGGACAAAGUGACAGGUGGUGCAUGGUUGUCGUCAGCUCGUGUCGUGAGAUGUUGGGUUAAGUCCCGCAACGAGCGCAACCCUUAAGCUUAGUUGCCAUCAUUAAGUUGGGCACUCUAAGUUGACUGCCGGUGACAAACCGGAGGAAGGUGGGGAUGACGUCAAAUCACCAUGCCCCUUAUGAUUUGGGCUACACACGUGCUACAAUGGACAAUACAAAGGGCAGCGAAACCGCGAGGUCAAGCAAAUCCCAUAAAGUUGUUCUCAGUUCGGAUUGUAGUCUGCAACUCGACUACAUGAAGCUGGAAUCGCUAGUAAUCGUAGAUCAGCAUGCUACGGUGAAUACGUUCCCGGGUCU